UUCUACGUGCCAGCAGCCGCCAUGUUGGAAAAAGCAAGUAGAUGCAGCCGUGUUUCCGGUCCGCACUUACGACGAGUUUCCGCCGAAACAACAUCCACCAAACGAGAACCUCAGUUUUCAUAUCUGUCGAAUGUGCUGGAAUGAAUCGACCUAACGGAACAGCGAGACACGGUAACAGUGCAUGAUAGGCUGCAUUACACCUCAUGAUGGCGGCAAAGACUCGAGGAGUCACAGGGAAAGGAGGGGCAUCGGAAAUCAUCAAGGACACCACCAGCAGAAGAGGGAGGCGGAUGUGAGGAAGACGAGACGUGGAAAGGACGAGGCAGCAAAGCAAUAGGGACGCCACUUUACAAGUACACAGAGCGAGGUUUAUGGCAUAAAAUAAACAUAUUUUUAGAUGUGCAACAAGACUGAAAGGCCUGUAAGAUGCUAUUCAUAGAAGAUAUUCAUUGAAACCUAAAAAUUAAACAGUCUGUAGUGCUUCCCACAGCAUUUAUGCACAUCUGAACGAACGAUUGCAAUUUUAACCAAUUUGACUGCAUUGACGAAAAAAAAGUCUGUUUAACAGCUUCUCAGGGAUGAUAAUAGACGACGCUGAUUAUUUACAGUCUUUUUGCAUUGACUCUGUAUGUGAUUUCAUCGCGUGAAUAAUCUGCGUCGCGUUUGGUGUGAACGCACCAUAACAGUGGCACAAGGAGAGAUAAGUGCUCAAAUCAGCAAACUGUCCCAUUACAGUUGGUAACACAAUAACUAACGAUAUCAACCAUCAAAACUUUGUUAUAUAUCAGCCAUCUAAAGAGACUGGUCCGACUCGACCAUGCUCAGCUGAACAAGGCUGCAUUUAUUUUCUAUAUAUAUAUAUAUAUAUA